rnacentral:rRNA from 1 species
UACGUAGGGGGCAAGCGUUGUCCGGAAUCAUUGGGCGUAAAGAGCGUGUAGGCGGCUCGGUAAGUCCGCUGUGAAAGUCCAGGGCUCAACCCUGGAAUGCCGGUGGAAACUGUCGAGCUAGAGUCCGGAAGAGGCGAGUGGAAUUCCUGGUGUAGCGGUGAAAUGCGCAGAUAUCAGGAGGAACACCAAUGGCGAAGGCAGCUCGCUGGGACGGUACUGACGCUGGAGACGCGAAAGCGUGGGGAGCGAACAGG